UACUGACUAACAAGGUUUUGCGGCCGCGUUUGAUUCGAUGAACUCUGCCAGAGAGAAAAGCUUUUUCGUCUUUUCUCAUAAUGUCGUUAAAUCGAAAACUUUUGCCAACGACGGCAGUGAUUUCAUAAAACUGCCCACAUGCAAUGCUCCAUAGUUAGACUAAUAAGUACCUAAAACCGACGUUUCGCAACACUUUAGCAUGCGCACCGUGACCUAAAAUUUCACAAAAGGAAUCAUAAAUAAAUAAAAAUAAAUGAAUUCCUAAAUUUGUAAUCACUUAAUUUAGUCGGAGCUCUUCAAUUUACAAAUUAUUAGAAUUUAAGACUGAUGUCUGAAACACACUAGGUAAGAUUAUAGUAACGAUAGAAAUACAAAUCACUCUGAUGAUGAGCACGUGUAAUCUUUAUCAGUAUCACUAGCUGUUAUAUCCUUUUCGUCAAUCUGUAUAAACGCCUCACUCUCAGGAACUAUAAAAGCUACAAAGUUGAGACUAAGCCAGCAGAUUUAAGAGACAUAGAAAAAAAGGACGAGUGAACUCUUUAAAAAAUUUGUUGUUUUCGUUUUAUUAUUUGUCUUUUUUCCAGUAUAUCGUUAUAGCAUCCGAUCUACAUUAGUUUAUAAAACGUAAAAGUGUAACUAAAAAAAACAGUAAAACCGCAGUAAAAGCGAUGCAAGGUCGUCGCCAGGGUAGGGCUGGGCCUAAAAGGAAUGUUCAAGAAAAUUCAUAAUUUGCUGCCUAUCGCGUAACUUCACGUUGUUUAUUUACACUUUGUACUGUUCUUAUUCUCUUAGUCAAUCUGCCUCCAAUUCUAUCGAUCUGCUUCCCAUACAUAAGCUUGAUAGGUGCUUUCACUAAGAGUUUCUAGUGUUGGAAGAUGAAUUCUACUAUCUCUCGCCCCUGGCUGAUGGCCUGGUGACGCCUUUGAAGAGAUGACAGAUGUAUAUAAACCAUUUCAGGGCGAUGUCUUCUAUUAUAACCUCUUGAUUUCUACAGACCUAAAUUGCCCAAAGCAAUCUAAAACACAAUAACAUUUUACAUUCAUACAUUUUUAAUAUAUUUUUAUAUUUUUCGGGUACAAGCCGAACCCUGUAUUGUCUACACACAGUCUCCGCAGAAUUUCGAGAACAUUUUACAGUUAUAUUUUUUAAUUUUAAAAUGUUCUUUUUUUAAACUGGGAAUAUACAUACAUAUAUUUUUUAAAUACAUACAUACCUUUUUUCUAACAUACAUACAGAUACAUUGUACUAAUAUGUGAAACAAAAUCCAAACCAUAUGUGUACAUAUUCUUACAUUGCCUGAGGCUAUAUUUUUGAUCGCCAUAGUAAGAAGGACAAAAUCGUAAGUGUUUUAAACAAACGGUACUAACGAAAAGCAAAUCACGGACAUAGAAGCGCAAAGCAUUUCAGGUGUUUUAUUGCGCUUCUGUUCAGUUUUCACUUCCUCAUCUGUAGAAGUAAUCAAUAGCACGCUUUCUGUAAAUUGAUUCUGGAAAGUAUCCAGAAACAAUCCUGAAAAAUGCUUUCGAAUGUAUUGCAAUAUAAAUAUUCUCGAAAAUUUGAUUAAAAUAGACACUUUAUGUUAGUCUGUUUUAAAGGUGUAUUUAGCCUUUAGUUGUUCCAAGUACCCCACCCCAAUCCAAUUGGUUCGAUGUAGAAUGAAAAUUCACUUACACAUGAUAUUGAAUAACAUAUAUAAAUAUGGAAUUAAAAUUGUGCCUUUAAAAGUCUAUUACUGGCCAAUUACAUUUUAAUGAGUUUUAGAAUUGGUUGAAAUUUAUGUUGAAUAAAAUUUCAAUCUAAGUAAAAAAUUUUGCAUUUUUGUAUCCAACAUAUGUAUAGACUUAAGUGAAAUUCUCUACAACUCUGGUGGUAAAACUAACGAGACAUAACGACAUAAAUAAAAUGCUAAGUAAGACUUAAAUUUGUUUAGUAAGUUCUGUACAAGGGAAAGCGUUAACCAAAUCCACAUAUGACUUUUAUACAUAGAGAAUUUUGAUUUUGAGUCAGAAGCCACUUAGUUAAGUAGACUUUUGCGACCAUAUAAAUAUGUAUUUGUAUUUGUUCAAGCCGAACACAUAAGUUUUCUCACGAAAUUAUUUUCUUUUUCUAAGCGUGAUUUUUCAAGCCAUCCGCGAUCAGCAUCAGGUUUAACACCAUGUGCUUAAGUAUUUGAAAAGAGAUACAUUUUGCUUAUGUUAUUAAGCAUAGGUGCACUUUUUGCCAUUGUCGACAUCAUAUACCACGCAUCCCAUCAGCAAUCCGACGAGGACCCCGACAUCUUUCAAUCCACUAAGAUCUUAAACCCACAUUAUAUCACCCUUAUCAUUGCAAGUUUCCAUUACACGUGCAAAUAUGGGGAUUUCCGAUACGGAACCAGUUGAGUUCAUAUCCAAUUACUGUGUUUGGCAAACUGCACUUUCAAUGACAGAAGUUCUUCAGAUACGAAUGCUGAGACUGACAUCCGUUCCGUUCGAAAGUUACAAAAUUUUUUGCAGUUUCAAAAAACGGCUCCUGGCAGUUCAUUGUUAUUCCGAAGAAACUUGGCGCAGCGGACAAACCUGUAUAGUGUGAAAGAACCACCACACUCUUCUUCACACGGACGGCCGAUCUAUGCUGAAAAUGUUGUCGAUUUGAAAAAACCCGCUAGCUUAGCGGAAAAGAGCUGACUAAGUUGUAUUUAAUUUGUUUUAUAGUUGAGUAUAUCAUAUAUCGUUUUGCCAAUAACCUAGCUGGUUUUUUUUUUAAAUUUGUAGAACUAAAGUGUAUUGAUAUAUCGACAUAGUUUGCAUAAUUUAAAUAGUUCAAUAAUGAUGACCGUAAACAAGAACAACUUCAGAAAGGGUUACUUGUUCUGAAUUGGAGAAAGGACCUGUUUUUGCUUAGUAACUUUUAAACCUGCAUUUUAUGUAAAUGUGUUGUAUAUAAGCCGUAUUGUAAGCUAGGAAAUACAAAACUGUAAAAAAAAUGUUACACUCGUUCGUUUUCAAUAAAUCUGCUAAGAAGAGAAAAACAACUAA